rnacentral:rRNA from 1 species
GACGAACGCUGGCGGCGUGCUUAACACAUGCAAGUCGAACGGUGAAGCGCCUUCCUUUUUGGUGGGUGUGGAUGAGUGGCGAACGGGUGAGUAACACGGGAGUAACCUGCCCCCUUCUUCUGGAUAACCGCAUGAAAGUGUGGCUAAUACGGGAUAUUCUGGGCCUGUCGCAUGAUGGGUCUGGGAAAGAUAUUGUUUCGGUGGGGGAUGGGCUCGCGGCCUAUCAGCUUGUUGGUGGGGUGAUGGCCUACCAAGGCGGUGACGGGUAGCCGGCCUGAGAGGGAUGGCGGGCACACUGGGGAUGAGGCACGGCCCAGACUGCUACGGGAGGCAGCCGAGAGGAAUACUGCACAAUGGGCGGAAGCAUGAUGCAGCGACGCCGCGGGAGGGAUGGAGGCCUGCGGGUUGUGAACCUCUUUCGCCAGUAAAGCAGGGCUGCCUCGUUUGUGGGUGGGUUGACGGUAGCUGGAGAAGAAGCCCCGGCUAACUACGUG